AAUCGUUUAAGCAUGUAGUGAUAAAGGC
rnacentral:sRNA from 1 species